AACGAACGCUGGCGGCAUGCCUAACACAUGCAAGUCGAACGAGACCUUCGGGUCUAGUGGCGCACGGGUGCGUAACGCGUGGGAACCUGCCCUUAGGUUCGGAAUAACUCCCCGAAAGGGGUGCUAAUACCGGAUAAUGUCUUCGGACCAAAGAUUUAUCGCCUUUGGAUGGGCCCGCGUUGGAUUAGCCAGUUGGUAGGGUAAAAGCCUACCAAGGCGACGAUCCAUAGCUGGUCUGAGAGGAUGAUCAGCCACACUGGGACUGAGACACGGCCCAGACUCCUACGGGAGGCAGCAGUGGGGAAUAUUGGACAAUGGGCGGAAGCCUGAUCCAGCAAUGCCGCGUGAGUGAUGAAGGCCUUAGGGUUGUAAAGCUCUUCUACCCGGGAUGAUAAUGACAGUACCGGGAGAAUAAGCUCCGGCUAACUCCGUG
rnacentral:rRNA from 1 species